GACGAACGCUGGCGGCGUGCUUAACACAUGCAAGUCGAACGAAGAGCGAUGGAAGCUUGCUUCUAUCAAUCUUAGUGGCGAACGGGUGAGUAACGCGUAAUCAACCUGCCCUUCAGAGGGGGACAACAGUUGGAAACGACUGCUAAUACCGCAUACGAUCUAACCUCGGCAUCGAGGAUAGAUGAAAGGUGGCCUCUACAUGUAAGCUAUCACUGAAGGAGGGGAUUGCGUCUGAUUAGCUAGUUGGAGGGGUAACGGCCCACCAAGGCGAUGAUCAGUAGCCGGUCUGAGAGGAUGAACGGCCACAUUGGGACUGCGACACGGCCCAGACUCCUACGGGAGGCAGCAGUGGGGAAUCUUCCGCAAUGGACGAAAGUCUGACGGAGCAACGCCGCGUGAGUGAUGACGGCCUUCGGGUUGUAAAGCUCUGUUAAUCGGGACGAAAGGCCUUCUUGCGAAUAGUGAGAAGGAUUGACGGUACCGGAAUAGAAAGCCACGGCUAACUACGUG
rnacentral:rRNA from 1 species